rnacentral:rRNA from 1 species
AUUGAACGCUGGCGGCAGGCCUAACACAUGCAAGUCGAGCGAGCGGCGGACGGGUGAGUAAUGUAUGGGGACUGCCCGAUAGAGGGGGAUAACUACUGGAAACGGUGGCUAAUACCGCAUACUAUCGGAUAACCCAUAUGGGAUUAGCUAGUAGGUGGGGUAAAGGCUCACCUAGGCGACGAUCUCGAGCUGGUCUGAGAGGAUGAUAGGCACCACGGGUACUGAGAAACGUCCCAGAUUCCUACGGAGGCAGCAGUGGGGAUUAUUGCACAUGGGGCGCAAGCCUAAUGCCGCCAUGCCGCGUGUUUGACGACGGCCUUAGGGUUUUAAGGUUCUUUCAUCGGGGAGGCGUUACCCGAAGAAGAAGCCCCGGCUAACUCCGUGCCAGCAGCCGCGUAAUUC